rnacentral:rRNA from 3 species
CAUGCAUGUCUAAGUACAAGCCUCAGUAAGGUGAAACCGCGAAUGGCUCAUUAAAUCACACCUAAUCUACUGGAAAGUUACUAGUUACUUGGAUAACUGAGGUAAUUCUUGAGCUAAUACAUGCGAAAAAUCUCGACUCACGGAGAGAUGCUUUUAUUAGAUCAAAACCAAACGGCUUCGGCCGUCUCAUUGGUGACUCUGAAUAACUUUGGGCUGAUCGUAUGGCCUUGUGCCGACGACGUUUCCUUCGAAGGUGUGCCCUAUCAACUGUCGACUGUGAUAUAGACGCUCACAGUGGUUUUGACGGGUAACGGGGAAUCAGGGUUCGAUUCCGGAGAGGGAGCCUUAAAAACGGCUACCACAUCCAAGGAAGGCAGCAGGCACGCAAAUUACCCAAUGACCGAAGGUCGAGGUAGUGACGAAAAAUAACGAUACAGGACUCAUCCGAGGCCCUGUAAUUGGAAUGAGUACACUUUAAAACCGUUCCCGAGGAUCUAUUGGAGGGCAAGUCUGGUGCCAGCAGCCGCGGUAAUUCCAGCUCCAAUAGCGUAUAUUAAAGUUGUUGUGGUUAAAAAGCUCGUAGUUGGAUCUCGGCGGACAGAAGUCGGUCCGAAUGCUUUCGGUACUGGCUUGUUUGUCCGUGUGUUUUGCCAGAGGCAGGCGGGUGCUCUUCGCCGAGUGUCCGUCUGUGCUGGCAGGUUUACUUUGAAAAAAUUAGAGUGCUCAAAGCAAGCUCUUACGCUUGAAUAUUCGUGCAUGGAAUAAUAGAAUAGGAUGUCGUUUCUAUUUUGUUGGUUUUCGGAAAUCGACAUAAUGAUUAAUAGGGACAGUCGGGGGCAUUUGUAUUCAAACGACAGAGGUGAAAUUCUUGGACCGUUUGAAGACAAACUACUGCGAAAGCAUUUGCCAAGAAUGUUUUCAUUAAUCAAGAACGAAAGUUAGAGGUUCGAAGGCGAUUAGAUACCGCCCUAGUUCUAACCAUAAACGAUGCCAGCUAGCGAUCUGCAGGCGUUUUAUUUUACGACCUUGCAGGGAGCUUCCGGGAAACCAAAGCUUGUGGGUUCCAGGGGAAGUAUGGUUGCAAAGCUGAAACUUAAAGGAAUUGACGGAAGGGCACCACCAGGAGUGGAGCCUGUGGCUUAAUUUGACUCAACACGGGAAAUCUCACCAGGCCCGGACACGAGAAGGAUUGACAGAUUGAUAGCUCUUUCUUGAUUUCGUGGGUGGUGGUGCAUGGCCGUUCUUAGUUGGUGGAGUGAUUUGUCUGGUUAAUUCCGAUAACGAACGAGACUCUGUCCUGCUAACUAGUGUCUGCUUCUUUUCUGAGCAGAUUAUUCUUCUUAGAGGGACUGGUAGCUCUUAGCUACACGAGAUUGAGCAAUA